AGUGAACGCUGGCGGUAGGCCUAACACAUGCAAGUCGAACGGCAGCACAGUAAGAGCUUGCUCUUACGGGUGGCGAGUGGCGGACGGGUGAGGAAUACAUCGGAAUCUACUUUUUCGUGGGGGAUAACGUAGGGAAACUUACGCUAAUACCGCAUACGACCUACGGGUGAAAGCAGGGGAUCUUCGGACCUUGCGCGAUUGAAUGAGCCGAUGUGGGAUUAGCUAGUUGGCGGGGUAAAGGCCCACCAAGGCGACGAUCCGUAGCUGGUCUGAGAGGAUGAUCAGCCACACUGGAACUGAGGCACGGUCCAGACUCCUACGGGAGGCAGCAGUGGGGAAUAUUGGACAAUGGGCGCAAGCCUGAUCCAGCCAUACCGCGUGGGUGAAGAAGGCCUUCGGGUUGUAAAGCCCUUUUGUUGGGAAAGAAAAGCAGCAGGUUAAUACCCCGCUGUUCUGACGGUACCCAAAGAAUAAGCACCGGCUAACUUCGUG
rnacentral:rRNA from 1 species